UCACAGAACUUAUUCAAGCUACAAGGAGG
rnacentral:piRNA from 1 species